GCAUCCAUGCUUGAAUGGUUAAAGUGCCCAACUCAGCAAAUUCGUAGGUUCAAUUCUUGCUGGAUGCA
rnacentral:tRNA from 1 species